rnacentral:lncRNA from 1 species
AUUUUCUCCUUGAUUGGAAAGAGGAAAAAGAUGUCCACUGUUUUGCUUCCCUGGAAAUUGAAACUUUCCUCAUAUGCACCUGCAUCCUCUGAGACUUCGGAGGAAGAUGUCCAUUGAUUUGGUUUCCUGGAAUUUGAAUCUUUUCUCAUUUGCUGCCUGCAUUGUCUGAGACCUUGCUCCUGUGGGGGCGGAGCUGAUAAAAACACCUAGAAACAGGCCUUUCAGGAGCCAUAUAAGCUCAAGACCUUGGGGUCAGUUCUACCUUCUCUGGAACUCUCCUUCUCUGGGGUGACUGUGAUCCUAGCAGGGCGUCGGCAGUGUCCCAGCUGGCCUUUCGUCAUGGGCGAAAUUGCAACUAUGAUUAAAAAUGCUGUGUUCUCCACCGCUAUGACCGUAUUGGUCCAGGCCAUCGUCUUCCCUGGGGCAGGAAUGGCUGCAGGCUUAAUGACCAGGAUGACGUCCGCAGCGGCCAAAACUGUCACCAGAGUUGCUGUCGGCAGCCUGAGGGUUGCUCUGCGGUCACUGAGUAAGUGUCUGGGCAGGGCUAGCUGGGGAGGGCAAGGAGGAGGACAAGAGCCUCCAAGCACCCAGCCCCGGUCUCAGCCCUGCCAUCCCAGCCCUGUUCCUUUGUCUCACCUCCACAUUGUCUCUCUGGGCUACUCUGAGGGAGGCAGGAGCCCUGGCCUGGGGCAGGUCGGGGUCAGGACAAUCCUGUCUGAAGCAGAGUUGCCAGGUUCCUUGGGGGCAUCUCCGUACCUUGGGGGUUCAACAGAGAACCAACCACCCGGGUUCACGACACUGGGCUGCCGCUGCAGCAACCCUUUCCAAAGGAGACAUCCUGAGGGUUCUGGGAAGAGGGGUGGUGAUGCCAGGUGGGGUCUCUAG